rnacentral:snoRNA from 2 species
UUGCAAACUUGAUCACUAGCUCUGCAUGAAGUUGCAGAAGCAAAGGGAACAGGUUUGCUAAAAUAAACAUGGUCAUAGACCCUGUAUUAGCCUUAGAAAUCUCAUUAUUUGGGCUGUUAACUCUAUGCCGUGACAAGG